GGAAAACUCACAGCCAGAAUCUCCAGUUAAGUUUUCAUCAUUUUCAAUCUCUUCAGCUGGAAGAUUCAAAUCUAAGCAUGUGUUUGAUGUCUUGUGAGCUCGUUUGGCCAUCUCCGAGCUUCCAAAUUGCUGAUCUACACUUUCGAUUGGACCACUAGUUAUAAGCUUUCUAUUAUUCACAAAGAUUUGGCUUGAAGAUCUUUUUCUAGUUGUUAUCAAUGCAGUUGAGUUUGGACCUGUGACAUCAUCUGUAAGAUCAAAUGCAAUUAGUAUCUGGAUUUGAUUACCUUUAGAUGCCAAUAUGUCUUCUUCCGAAUAGUCAGCUGUUUCUUUGGUAGAAGGAAGAGUUCUCUCUUCGUCUAAUCUUGAUGAUGUCGUCACAAAGAUUGUAUUACCUAUGCUAACUUCCCUACCAUGAGAGUCCAAAAAUCUACCAGUCUUAACAGCUUGGGACAAGCUUUUCUGCAUCAGUAUAUCAGCUUUAUUCACAUUUUCAAGGAAAACAACCGAUAAGGGGUUGUU
rnacentral:misc_RNA from 1 species